rnacentral:rRNA from 1 species
CCUACGGGAGGCAGCAGUGGGGAAUAUUGCACAAUGGGGGAAACCCUGAUGCAGCAACGCCGCGUGAAGGAAGACGGUUUUCGGAUUGUAAACUUCUGUUCUUAGUGAAGAAUAAUGACGUUAGCUAAGGAGCAAGCCACGGCUAACUACGUGCCAGCAGCCGCGGUAAGACGUAGGUGGCAAGCGUUGUCCGGAAUUACUGGGUGUAAAGGGAGCGCAGGCGGGAAGCCAAGUCAGCUGUGAAAGCUACGGGCUUAACUUGGAGACUGCAGUUGAAACUGGUUGUCUUGAGUGAAGUAGAGGUUGGCGGAAUGCCGAGUGUAGCGGUGAAAUGCGUAGAGAUUAGGAGGAACACCGGUGGCGAAGGCGGCUAACUGGGCUUUAACUGACGCUGAGGCUCGAAAGUGUGGGGAGCAAACAGGAUUAGAUACCCGAGUAGUC